CUAUAACUGAAAAAAGUUAUGGCGGAAGGAG
rnacentral:ncRNA from 1 species